AGUGAACGCUGGCGGUAGGCCUAACACAUGCAAGUCGAACGGCAGCACAGUAAGAGCUUGCUCUUACGGGUGGCGAGUGGCGGACGGGUGAGGAAUACAUCGGAAUCUACUUUUUCGUGGGGGGUAACGUAGGGAAACUUACGCUAAUACCGCAUACGACCUACGGGUGAAAGCAGGGGAUCUUCGGACCUUGCGCGAUUGAAUGAGCCGAUGUCGGAUUAGCUAGUUGGCGGGGUAAAGGCCCACCAAGGCGACGAUCCGUAGCUGGUCUGAGAGGAUGACCGCCCAAACGGAACCGGAAACAGGUCCAGGCCCCCACGGGGGGGCGCGGGGGGGAAUUUUGGAAAAUGGGGCGAAGCCUUAUCCAGCCCUACCGGGGUGGUUAAGAAGGCCUUCGGGUUGUAAAGCCCUUUUGUUGGGAAAAAAAAGCAGUAGGUUAAUACCCCGCUGUUUUGACGGGACCCAAAGAAUAAACACCGGCUAACUUCGU
rnacentral:rRNA from 1 species